GACGAACGCUGGCGGCGUGCUUAACACAUGCAAGUCGAACGGAAAGGCCCUGCUUUUGUGGGGUGCUCGAGUGGCGAACGGGUGAGUAACACGUGAGUAACCUGCCCUUGACUUUGUUAUAACUUCAGGAAACUGGGGCUAAUACCGUAUAGGAGCUCCUGCUGCAUGGUGGGGGUUGGAAAGUUUCGGCGGUUGGGGAUGGAUUCGCGGCUUAUCAGCUUGUUGGUGGGGUAGUGGCUUACCAAGGCUUUGACGGGUAGGCGGCCUGAGAGGGUGACCGGCCACAUUGGGACUGAGAUACGGCCCAGACUGGUACGGGAGGCAGCAGUGGGGAAUAUUGCACAAUGGGCGGAAGCCUGAUGCAGAAACGCCGCGUGCGGGAUGACGGCCUUCGGGUUGUAAACAGCUUUCGCCUGUGACGAAGCGUGAGUGACGGUAAUGGGUAAAGAAGCACCGGCUAACUACGUG
rnacentral:rRNA from 1 species